GGAAGCAGAGUUAAUAAUGUGCAAUGGAGAAAUGAAAAUGUAUGAAAAGUUUAUGGAGUGUUCCCUGAUAAUAUUGCCCAAAGGAAGCAGAUAUAAGGUAAAUAAAAAUGGUCCGAGCACAGAACCUUGUGGAACUCCGUGACUAACGUUGGUGGUCAUCGAGGUCAUCGUUUACAAUUACAAACUGAGAUCGAUCUGAUAAAUAGGAUAUAAAGCAACAGUGCGGUGUCUGGGAUGCAAAUCGACUGAUCCAGUGUCGAACGCAGCACUAAGGUCUAACAAGACCAGUAGAAAUGAGUCCUUUAUCAGCACUAAGGUCUAACAAGACCAGUAGAGAGAUGAGUCCUUUAUCAGCACUAAGGUCUAACAAGACCAGUAGAGAUGAGUCCUUUAUCAGCACUAAGGUCUAACAAGACCAGUAGAGAUGAGUCCUUUAUCAGCACUAAGGUCUAACAAGACCAGUACAGAGAUGAGUCCUUUAUCAGCACUAAGGUCUAACAAGACCAGUACAGAGAUGAGUCCUUUAUCAGCACGAAGGUCUAACAAGACCAGUAGAGAUAAGUCCUUUAUCAGCACUAAGGUCUAACAAGACCAGUACAGAGAUGAGUCCUUUAUCAGCACUAAGGUCUAACAAGACCAGUACAGAGAUGAGUCCUUUAUCAGCACUAAGGUCUAACAAGACCAGUACAGAGAUGAGUCCUUUAUCAGCACGAAGGUCUAACAAGACCAGUAGAGAUGAGUCCUUUAUCAGGACUAAGGUCUAACAAGACCAGUAUAGAGAUGAGUCCUUUAUCAGCACUAAGGUCUAACAAGACCAGUAGAGAUGAGUCCUUUAUCAGCACUAAGGUCUAACAAGACCAGUACAGAGAUGAGUCCUUUAUCAGCACUAAGGUCUAACAAGACCAGUACAGAGAUGAGUCCUUUAUCAGCACGAAGGUCUAACAAGACCAGUAGAGAUAAGUCCUUUAUCAGCACUAAGGUCUAACAAGACCAGUACAGAGAUGAGUCCUUUAUCAGCACGAAGGUCUAACAAGACCAGUACAGAGAUGAGUCCUUUAUCAGCACUAAGGUCUAACAAGACCAGUAGAGAUGAGUCCUUUAUCAGGACUAAGGUCUAACAAGACCAGUAUAGAGAUGAGUCCUUUAUCAGCACUAAGGUCUAACAAGACCAGUAGAGAUGAGUCCUUUAUCAGCACUAAGGUCUAACAAGACCAGUAGAGAUGAGUCCUUUAUCAGCACUAAGGUCUAACAAGACCAGUAGAGAGAUGAGUCCUUUAUCAACACUAAGGUCUAACAAGACCAGUAGAGAUGAGUCCUUUAUCAACACUAAGGUCUAACAAGACCAGUAGAGAUGAGUCCUUUAUCAGCACUAAGGUCUAACAAGACCAGUACAGAGAUGAGUCCUUUAUCAGCACUAAGGUCUAACAAGACCAGUACAGAGAUGAGUCCUUUAUCAGCACGAAGGUCUAACAAGACCAGUAGAGAUGAGUCCUUUAUCAGGACUAAGGUCUAACAAGACCAGUAUAGAGAUGAGUCCUUUAUCAGCACUAAGGUCUAACAAGACCAGUAGAGAUGAGUCCUUUAUCAGCACUAAGGUCUAACAAGACCAGUACAGAGAUGAGUCCUUUAUCAGCACUAAGGUCUAACAAGACCAGUACAGAGAUGAGUCCUUUAUCAGCACGAAGGUCUAACAAGACCAGUAGAGAUAAGUCCUUUAUCAGCACUAAGGUCUAACAAGACCAGUACAGAGAUGAGUCCUUUAUCAGCACGAAGGUCUAACAAGACCAGUAGAGAUGAGUCCUUUAUCAGGACUAAGGUCUAACAAGACCAGUAUAGAGAUGAGUCCUUUAUCAGCACUAAGGUCUAACAAGACCAGUAGAGAUGAGUCCUUUAUCAGCACUAAGGUCUAACAAGACCAGUAGAGAUGAGUCCUUUAUCAGCACUAAGGUCUAACAAGACCAGUACAGAGAUGAGUCCUUUAUCAACACUAAGGUCUAACAAGACCAGUAGAGAGAUGAGUCCUUUAUCAACACUAAGGUCUAACAAGACCAGUAGAGAGAUGAGUCCUUUAUCAGCACUAAGGUCUAACAAGACCAGUACAGAGAUGAGUCCUUUAUCAGCACUAAGGUCUAACAAGACCAGUACAGAGAUGAGUCCUUUAUCAGCACGAAGGUCUAACAAGACCAGUAGAGAUGAGUCCUUUAUCAGGACUAAGGUCUAACAAGACCAGUAUAGAGAUGAGUCCUUUAUCAGCACUAAGGUCUAACCAGACCAGUAGAGAUGAGUCCUUUAUCAGCACUAAGGUCUAACAAGACCAGUACAGAGAUGAGUCCUUUAUCAGCACGAAGGUCUAACAAGACCAGUACAGAGAUGAGUCCUUUAUCAGGACUAAGGUCUAACAAGACCAGUAGAGAUGAGUCCUUUAUCAGGACUAAGGUCUAACAAGACCAGUAUAGAGAUGAGUCCUUUAUCAGCACUAAGGUCUAACAAGACCAGUAGAGAUGAGUCCUUUAUCAGCACUAAGGUCUAACUAGACCAGUACAGAGAUGAGUCCUUUAUCAGCACGAAGGUCUAACAAGACCAGUAGAGAUAAGUCCUUUAUCAGCACUAAGGUCUAACAAGACCAGUACAGAGAUGAGUCCUUUAUCAGCACGAAGGUCUAACAAGACCAGUACAGAGAUGAGUCCUUUAUCAGGACUAAGGUCUAACAAGACCAGUAGAGAUAAGUCCUUUAUCAGCACUAAGGUCUAACAAGACCAGUACAGAGAUGAGUCCUUUAUCAGGACUAAGGUCUAACAAGACCAGUACAGAGAUGAGUCCUUUAUCAGGACUAAGGUCUAACAAGACCAGUAGAGAUGAGUCCUUUAUCAGGACUAAGGUCUAACAAGACCAGUAUAGAGAUGAGUCCUUUAUCAGCACUAAGGUCUAACAAGACCAGUAGAGAUGAGUCCUUUAUCAGCACUAAGGUCUAACAAGACCAGUAGAGAUGAAUCCUUUAUCAGCACUAAGGUCUAACAAGACCAGUAUAGAGAUGAGUCCUUUAUCUGAUGCCAUUAGGAGGUCAUUUGUAAUUUUCGCCAGUGCUGUCUCGGUGGUGUUUUCUAAAUCCUGACAACCUCCUCAAAUAAACUAUUAUGAUGUAGAAAGUCACACAACUGGUGUGCGACCACUUUCUCAAGGAUCUUGGAGAGGAACGGAAGGUGAGAUAUUGGUCUGUAGUUAGCCAACACCUCUGGAUCCAGAGUGAUGUAACACUUAUGCCAGAGCCAUGACUCCAAUAAUAAUGAAUAUGGAUCUGAGGCGCGAUGUAAAUGUUUAUGAAACUAACAAACCGGUGUCGUUGUGUCUCC